rnacentral:rRNA from 1 species
UACAGAGGUCUCAAGCGUUGUUCGGAUUCAUUGGGCGUAAAGGGUGCGUAGGCGGCGCGGUAAGUCGGGUGUGAAAUCUCGGAGCUUAACUCCGAAAACUGCAUUUCGAUACUGCCGUGCUUGAGGACUGGAGAGGAGACUGGAAUUUACGGUGUAGCGGUGAAAUGCGUAGAUAUCGUAAGGAAGACCAGUGGCGAAGGCGGGUCUCUGGACAGUUCCUGACGCUGAGGCACGAAGGCCGGGGGGAGCAAACGGGG